AUGGGGAAACAAGGGCCCAGAGAUACUCAACCUUGCCUGAGGUCACAUAGUUAUAAGCAAGAUUCAAGUGAAUGAAUUAAAGAAGUACAAGACCGGAAACUGAAGAGUACAUAAGGCAGGGGAAGGAUAAUCACGUCCACCUUGCAGAGUUUGUGCAGAGAUGAGACAAUGCAUGUGGAAUGCCUGGCCCACAGAGGACCGUGAGUACAUUAUAGUCUGCCUCUUAGUCUAGUGAAGCCAAAGGCUUUGUUGACCAAAGAUGUCAGAUGAGAGCUCACUUAGCCAAUGGGCAUAAGGGAAUCCUGAAUUUAUG